rnacentral:lncRNA from 1 species
AUUUAGAUACGUGUGGUGCUCAAAAUUUCAAAAUAGAUACUAAUUUAUGAGUUUUGGUUUGUUCCUAUGUGUGAGAAAAAUAUGAGAAAAAUAAAGAAGACAAAACAAAAGAUGUUGAGGAAUUGUCAUCGUCAACUUUGAGGAUCCGUAUAGAUUAUUUUGUCAAAAGGUACGACAAAUAAUCUUUCUUUUUUCUUUAACAAAAUUUUAAUAGUAGCUUUUUGUGACAAGAGAAAUUUUGGAUAAACUAUGUUCUUGUGCAAUAUCUCAUUUCUUAGUUUGUUUGGGUUAAGUUAUUUAGGA